rnacentral:rRNA from 1 species
AAGGCAAAGCCGCGAGGCAGAGCGAAUCUCAAAAAGCCGUCCCAGUUCGGAUUGCAGGCUGCAACCCGCCUGCAUGAAGUUGGAAUCGCUAGUAAUCGCGGAUCAGAAUGCUGCGGUGAAUACGUUCCCGGGUCUUGUACACACCGCCCGUCACACCAUGGGAGCCAGGAAUGCCCGAAGCCAGUGGCCUAACCGCAAGGGAGGAGCUGUCGAAGGCAGGCCCGGUAACUGGGGUGAAGUCGUAACAAGGUAAC